UACGUAGGUGGCAAGCGUUGUCCGGAUUUACUGGGCGUAAAGAGCGCGCAGGCGGUCGUUCAAGUCGCGUGUGAAAGCCCCCGGCUCAACUGGGGAGGGUCACGCGAUACGUGGAUCACUCGAAGGCAGGAGAGGGGAAGGUGGAAUUCCCGGUGUAGUGGUGAAAUGCGUAGAUAAUCGGGAGGAACACCAGUGGCGAAGGCGGCGCUCUGGGCCGGGAACUGACGCUGGAGGAGCGAAAG
rnacentral:rRNA from 1 species